UAUACCGACGAUGCAAUGAUAAUCCUUAAACGGUUUACAUUUCUGAUUGUUUUGCCGUGUCAAAAUAUACAGUACAUACGCGUUGAUUAAUAAUUCUGUCAUAUUGGUUAAUUAUUCGUAACGCAGAAUGUAACUAUUAAAAUCAGGAUCGUUAAUUCUCUUCGAUGUACCGGUCAGCCGAAACCAUCCGCGUUAUUUAUCGAGCCUAUUGAAUCUAUUUGUUUCCAACGUAACACGUAACGCUCUUAAUUGUGACCGUCUCUCGGUCGUUGACAAAUUGAUUCGUUUUUACCUUCCGUCAUAUCGUAACGAAUUGGACGUACUCGACGAUAUUUUAUAUGCGCGUUCCGGUGAGAUAACAAAAAACUUUCCAAAGUAUUUCUACCAGGAAACAAGAGGGGAAAAAAUGCCAAAUAAAAAAAAAAAAAGAAAGAAAAACAACUUGUCACAAAUAAUAUCCUGACAUUGAGUUAUAUAUAUAUAUAUAUAUAUGUAUACACACAUAUAUGUAUAUAACUACCAACGAGAACGAUCACGUGAAUAUCUCCGAUUAUGUUGUUUCUCUUCGCGUUGUUUCCUCACAAUGAAUUCACAGUCGCCGAAACAAUUUUCAUUAAGCGCGUUCACGUCCACUGUGCAGAGAGCGGCUAAUGCAGCAACAUUCAUCACGUUAGAACUCCGUUUUAUCGAGGAUAGGAGAAGAGGCAUUCGAGUGGAACGAUUUCAAUGGGUCAUCGAAUAUGCGCAUACACGCGGGACGUGUCAUUUCGCUGAAGUACCAUGCAAAAUACUUUCUUCUCUGGUACAGUCAAAACAUUAUUCCCCCUCUUCUAAUCGACGAAUAACGAUAUCUCGAAUCGAUACCAUCGGCAGAACAUCAUUGUCUUUCCGUGACGAUACAUUUUCAAUUUAUUGGUACGAGUAAACACGACACGUUUCCUCCUCUAAUUUGAGUUGAACGGCGUCAACGAUAAAAAGCGUCCAAGAGAGAUCGAAAUAAAUGAAAUUCUCAGGGAAUUUUAAAGUCGAGAAAGGCGAUGUCUUUGAAAACGGGCUUUGUUCCAAGGCGCUAUGGCUUUUCAUCGUGAAAAUAUCCGUCUUUGAAGAUCGUAAUGCGAUCGAUUAUCUAGGUGCUUAUGCACCGAACACUGGAAAAAGGAAAAGAAAAGAAAUAAAGAAAAGAGAGAGAAAAAGAGAGAGAGAGAGAGAGAGAGAGAGAGAGAUUUACCACAAGGAAGAACCAACCUUCCACACCAAUCGUUCGUAUCAAACUGGGUCAAGAUGUUCACCGAGACGAUUUUUUUUCUGUAUUCAGGAAUAAAACGUGCCGAAACGUACAGUCAACGGAUUAUCCCUAUCUCACCACGUUUACCUAACUCAUGUCUUUCCUUACUCUAACCAUUGAACUUGUUCGGUACAAAAUAUAAUUAUUUUUUCAGAUUUAUGUGAAUCCUUGAAACGAAAGAAAAAAGAGAAAUAAUAAAAGAAGAAAAAUGUUAUACCAAUAUUACUUCCUACAAUAUUAAAUCGAAUAAUACGAA